ACACGGACCAAGGAGUGCAACACGCGUGCGAGUCUGUGGGUGCGUCAGACCCGUCGGCGCAAUGAGAGUGAAGGCGGACGCCCGGUCCGCCGAGGCAGGAGCCGUCCUCCACGGUCGGCCCACUGUUGACCGAUCCCGUGCCACGCUGUGGUGGGAUUCGAGUGAGAGCGUGCCUGUUGCGACCCGAAAGAUGGUGAACUAUGCCUGAAUAGGGCGAAGCCAGAGGAAACUCUGGUGGAAGCUCGCAGCGGUUCUGACGUGCAAAUCGAUCGUCAAAUUUGGGUAUAGGGGCGAAAGACUAAUCGAACCAUCUAGUAGCUGGUUCCCUCCGAAGUUUCCCUCAGGAUAGCUGGAGCCCGGAGCAGUUUUAUCAGGUAAAGCGAAUGAUUAGAGGUCUUGGGGUUGAAACAACCUCAACCUAUUCUCAAACUUUAAAUGGGUAAGAAGUCCGGCUUGCUCGGUUGAAGUCGGACGGUGGAAUGCCGGGGCUCCCAGUGGGCCAUUUUUGGUAAGCAGAACUGGCGAUGCGGGAUGAACCGAACGCCGGGUUAAGGUGCCCGAAUCGACGCUCAUCAGAUCCCAUGAAAGGUGUUGGUUGAUCUAGACAGCAGGACGGUGGCCAUGGAAGUCGGAAUCCGCUAAGGAGUGUGUAACAACU
rnacentral:rRNA from 1 species